rnacentral:misc_RNA from 1 species
UCCGGUUUGUCACCGGCAGUCUCAAUAGAGUGCCCUUGCGUAGCAACUAUUGAUAAGGGUUGCGCUCGUUGCGGGACUUAACCCAACAUCUCACGACACGAGCUGACGACAACCAUGCACCACCUGUCUUCCUGCCCCGAAGGGCUUCAUGCAUCUCUGCACUAUUCAGGAGAUGUCAAGUCUAGGUAAGGUUCUUCGCGUUGCUUCGAAUUAAACCACAUGCUCCGCUGCUUGUGCGGGCCCCCGUCAAUUCCUUUGAGUUUCAGCCUUGCGGCCGUACUCCCCAGGCGGGGCACUUACUGCGUUAGCUUCGGCACGGAGCGGGUCGAACGCCGCCCCACACCUAGCACCCAACGUUUACGGCUAGGACUAC